CAGUAUUGACUGCUAUGUAGUCUUUUACCUAUUCAACCACUGUGCAUUGUUACGUGACGUUCGCGUCACCACACUUUCACCAAUGAUUGAAUAACACAUACAUAAAAUACGCAGUA
rnacentral:misc_RNA from 1 species